GCGUCGGUGGUAUAACGGUUAGCAUAGCUGCCUUCCAAGCAGUUGACCCGGGUUCGACUCCCGGCCCGACGCA
rnacentral:tRNA from 1 species